UACGUAGGGUGCAAGCGUUGUCCGGAAUUAUUGGGCGUAAAGAGCUCGUAGGCGGUUCGUCGCGUCGGCUGUGAAAACCUGAGGCUCAACCUCAGGCCUGCAGUCGAUACGGGCGGACUUGAGUACUGCAGGGGAGACUGGAAUUCCUGGUGUAGCGGUGAAAUGCGCAGAUAUCAGGAGGAACACCGGUGGCGAAGGCGGGUCUCUGGGCAGUAACUGACGCUGGAGGAGCGAAAAGCGUGGGGAGCGAAACAGG
rnacentral:rRNA from 1 species